GAUAAACGCUGGCGGCGCACAUAAGACAUGCAAGUCGAACGGACUUAACUCGAAGUUUACUUUGAGAGCGGUUAGUGGCGGACUGGUGAGUAACGCGUGAGCAACCUGCCUACUAGAGGGGAAUAACAGUGAGAAAUCACUGCUAAUACCGCAUAAGACCACAGAGCCGCAUGGCUCGGGGGUCAAAGGAGAAAUCCGCUGAAGGAUGGCCUCGCGUCCGAUUAGCUAGUUGGCGGGGUAACGGCCCACCAAGGCGACGAUCGGUAGCCGGACUGAGAGGUUGAUCGGCCACAUUGGGACUGAGACACGGCCCAG
rnacentral:rRNA from 1 species